GCCUAACAUGCAAGUCGAGCGCACCCUUCGGGGCGAGCGGCGGACGGGUUAGUCAAAGUUUGGAAUGUACCCUUUUCUACGGAAUAGCCAUUGGCAAAGAUGAGUAAUACCGUAUACGCCCUUUGGGGGAAAGAUUUAUCGGAGAAGGAUCAGCCCGCGUUAGAUUAGAUAGUUGGUGGGGUAAUGGCCUACCAAGCCUACGAUCUAUAGCUGGUUUUAGAGGAUGAUCAGCAACACUGGGACUGAGACACGGCCCAGACUCCUACGGGAGGCAGCAGUGGGGAAUCUUAGACAAUGGGCGCAAGCCUGAUCUAGCCAUGCCGCGUGAGUGAUGAAGGCCUUAGGGUCGUAAAGCUCUUUCGCCUGUGAUGAUAAUGACAGUAGCAGGUAAAGAAACCCCGGCUAACUCCGUGCCAGCAGCCGCGGUAAUACGGAGGGGGUUAGCGUUGUUCGGAAUUACUGGGCGUAAAGCGCACGUAGGCGGAUUGGAAAGUUGGG
rnacentral:rRNA from 1 species